rnacentral:rRNA from 1 species
AUUGAACGCUGGCGGCAUGCCUUACACAUGCAAGUCGAACGGCAGCGCGGGAGCAAUCCUGGCGGCGAGUGGCGAACGGGUGAGUAAUACAUCGGAACGUGCCCAAUCGUGGGGGAUAACGCAGCGAAAGCUGUGCUAAUACCGCAUACGAUCUACGGAUGAAAGCAGGGGACCGCAAGGCCUUGCGCGAAUGGAGCGGCCGAUGGCAGAUUAGGUAGUUGGUGAGGUAAAGGCUCACCAAGCCUUCGAUCUGUAGCUGGUCUGAGAGGACGACCAGCCACACUGGGACUGAGACACGGCCCAGACUCCUACGGGAGGCAGCAGUGGGGAAUUUUGGACAAUGGGCGCAAGCCUGAUCCAGCCAUGCCGCGUGCAGGAUGAAGGCCUUCGGGUUGUAAACUGCUUUUGUACGGAACGAAACGGCCUUUUCUAAUAAAGAGGGCUAAUGACGGUACCGUAAGAAUAAGCACCGGCUAACUACGUGCCAGCCGCCGCGGUAAAAC